UACGUAGGGUGCAAGCGUUAAUCGGAAUUACUGGGCGUAAAGCGUGCGCAGGCGGUUGUGCAAGACAGAUGUGAAAUCCCCGGGCUUAACCUGGGAAUGGCAUUUGUGACUGCAUGGCUAGAGUGUGUCAGAGGGGGGUAGAAUUCCACGUGUAGCAGUGAAAUGCGUAGAUAUGUGGAGGAAUACCGAUGGCGAAGGCAGCCCCCUGGGAUAACACUGACGCUCAUGCACGAAAGCGUGGGGAGCAAACAGG
rnacentral:rRNA from 1 species